ACAUGCUGCAAUAGCUAACUCGUGAUAGCUAUCUCGAUGUAAAACAACAAAUUGUUUUUGUUGACAAUGAAGACAGCAACAGACAGAGAGGAAGGCAGCAUGAGAUGAACACAAGAUUUACUGGAGGGAGGAGUAAAGAGACACAAGAUGCAAUAGAUAGUCCAGUAUAUGCUGGAUGAAGACUAAAUCAGUGAAAUACAGGAUUGACAAAAUGAGAUGGAAAGACACUUCUACUUCGAAAUGUGAACUACCUCUUGACAAAGCAGGGAAGAGCAAGCUCCUCACUGCCUGCUGAGUGAAAACAUUGCCGCUGCGUUGUCUGUGAGAACAGCCUUUUUCCUUGACUGAGAUAGGAAAGAUUGACACAGGCGGGCAGCCCUUAGCUCUCUUCUGUUGAUGUGUAGAGACAGAAGCAAUGGUCGUAUCAACCGAGUUCUCUGCGUCUAGUCCAACCUGCAGCAAACUUCUCGCUUCAGAAUUCUCCUCAUCAACUAAAGAGAACUCUUAUCUAGUGUCCUCCAGCAACAUGUUCUUAAACUUUAAAAAGGAGUC